ACUCUAGUUUCUCUUCAAAUCACAUAAAUCUUUCACCUUUUACUGAAGAUUUCCAUGGAGAGAAACAGUUUAAAAAAAAAGGUCAUGAUGUAGGCAAUUUACUCUCAAAUUGU